UUUACAUGUCUUGUUGUGUUUCAAGCUCUCACCCUCAUGCAAGUCGUAAAAAAAUUGCCCGUCGCCAGCGUUUGUCCCAGCAGGAGGCAUGGAAUCGCACGAGCAUGGUGCAUUCCAAACCCCACUUGGAUUAGGAGUGAGGCGAGAUCCUCCGAUUAUCACUUCUGCGGCAGUGAGAAACACAGCAAUCCUGGCGCUGAAAUCCAAUGCAGAAUGCUGGACGACAGCAAAGACUUACUGCGGAGCAAAGACGGCGUCCACAAUGUACAUCCGAACAUGACAUGACAAUCAACAAUGUCCCCACAAAGAAGGUUGGGAGAGUGGCCGUGCCAGCAACCUGAGGGUUCCUGGUUCAAUCCCCACCUUCUACCAACCUCGUCACGUCCGUUGUGUCCUUGGGCAGGACACUUCACCCUUGCUCCUGAUGGGUCCUGGUUAGCGCCUUGCAUGGCAGCUCCCACCAUCAGUGUGUGAAUGUGUGUGUGAAUGGGUGAAUGUGGAAAUAGUGUCAAAGCGCUUUGAGUACAUUGAAGGUAGAAAAGUGCUAUACAAGUAUAACCCAUUUACCAUUUAACCCAUUUACAUUGUAUCGUAUGCAUGUUGGAAAUAAACUGAAACUGAACUGAACUGAACCAACAUUAGUAUGAAUAUGAAGCAUUGAAUGCAUUGGUAAUCCAACGCUGGCAUUGUAGAAAUGUAGAAAUGUACGAACAUCAGGCAUGAGGUUAGCGUGAGGCAGCACAGAUUUCCACGUCAUCCCCCACGACCCUCGGAAGUGUGUUUACCUAACCAGUACUAUUUUCUUAUUUCUGCUCGCGCAGUGAGUCCCGUUGAGUGACACCUUGUUCAUUUCACUGUGUCAAGCUUGCCUUGGAGUACGUUUUGGAGUUCCUGAUGGGUUAUUGCUUGCCUAAAUAAAGAGCCUCUUCC